AUUGAACGCUGGCGGAAUGCUUUACACAUGCAAGUCGAACGGUAGAGGGGGCAACCCCUCGAGAGUGGCGAACGGGUGAGUAAUAUAUCGGAACGUGCCCAGUCGUGGGGGAUAACGUAGCGAAAGUUACGCUAAUACCGCAUACGAUCUAAGGAUGAAAGCGGGGGAUCGCAAGACCUCGCGCGAUUGGAGCGGCCGAUAUCAGAUUAGGUAGUUGGUGGGGUAAAGGCUCACCAAGCCAACGAUCUGUAGCUGGUCUGAGAGGACGACCAGCCACACUGGAACUGAGCCACGGUCCAGACUCCUACGGGAGGCAGCAGUGGGGAAUUUUGGACAAUGGACGCAAGUCUGAUCCAGCCAUUCCGCGUGCAGGAUGAAGGCCCUCGGGUUGUAAACUGCUUUUGUACGGAACGAAAAGGUCUCUCUUAAUACGGGGGACUCAUGACGGUACCGUAAGAAUAAGCACCGGCUAACUACGUGCCAGCCGCCGCAUAA
rnacentral:rRNA from 1 species